UUAGGAAGAAUCAAAUGUAUGCCACAAGAUAUAAACAGGUACAGUUUUAGGAAGAAUCAAAUGUAUGCCACAAGAUAUAAACAGGUACAGUAUUGGGAAGAAUCAAAUGUAUGCCACAAGAUAUAAACAGGUACAGUAUUGGGAAGAAUCAAAUGUAUGCCACAAGAUAUAAACAGGUACAGUAUUGGGAAGAAUCAAACGUAUGCCACAAGAUAUAAACAGGUACAGUAUUAGGAAGAAUCAAAUGUAUGCCACAAGAUAUAAACAGGUACAGUAUUGGGAAGAAUCAAACGUAUGCCACAAGAUAUAAACAGGUACAGUAUUGGGAAGAAUCAAACGUAUGCCACAAGAUAUAAACAGGUACAGUAUUAGGAAGAAUCAAAUGUAUGCCACAAGAUA